GAGAGUGGGAGAAAGUUGAUGGUUAAUUAGGAAAUAUAUGGGAAAUAUUAUGGUGAUAAUGGAGUUAAUUAUGCUCAUUCUCAUUGAGGUGCAAGCUAGUGAUAAUAUUGUGCAUAGCCCAUUACAUGUUUGCGUUGAAACCAGACUUGAAAAAUGUGAAGAAAUUGAAGAAAAGCCGGAACAACUUGAACGGGACCAUUGCAUUUAUUUUGCCUUUGCCAAUUGUUUCAAAGAAGCUAUUGCUGAUGAUCCGGUGCAUAAACUUGUUGCAGAGUGUUUUGAAUUUUGCCAUCUUUUCACCUACCUUCAUUCAAGUUGUUUGAAAUUAUCUUUUAAAAAUCGUAUGAAAAAACACCCAAGAUUUCACCUAUGAGCUGAUCAAAUUCACAAUUAUGAGGGAUUCAAUAGAUGGCUCGGCUUAUAUAUAGCAAUGUGUUGGUGAUUUCUUCUACUUUUUUCGGGAGCAUUUGGUUGGGUGAUUUCAAAUUGUGUGAGCAGAAUGAUCAAUUUAAUGAUUCAUAUAUUUAUAUGACGAGUGACCUUGAUGGUAGGAAUCGACUACAGGGUUCUUGUUUACUUUUGCAUGGGGAGCUUUGUGCCUUUGUGCAACGCCGAACGACACAAUAAAAGCGCAAAAGAAAACUGAUCGAAGCACAAAAACUAAAUAGAGUUGUGUGAUGUGGGGGAGAAGAGAGAUAAAAAGAGAAAAAAAGGAGAUAUUUUUCUUGUCUUGGUCGAGACUUCUCACUAGAAAGAACAAAGGAUUUUCUUAGUUCAAUAACAAAUUGGAGUUUUACCCAGGAGGUCAUUUUGGGUACUUCAGCUACAGGGAGUUAUGGCAUUGAGAGGAGAUCUCAAUGCAAUUUUGGUUUCGCCAGUUUACAUUGGCUUGCAACAAAAAUGUUACAUACCACAAAGUUAACGCGGCAAUGUUUACGAACCAAAACCCUUGAA